rnacentral:lncRNA from 1 species
CUCUGUCACGGUUCAAGACUAAAAUCAAAGUCUAUGAUUUGGAAAGUUCACACGUACACGUGUUAGAGAUAGAUUGCAUCCCUUUACAAUAUAGCGCAUCUUUCAACAAAGUCCAUUAAUGAAUAAGAGAGUUCGGUCCAUGAGCUCGGCCCAAGAGUUGGCCCGAAAGCUUAGCCCAAAAGCUUGCCUCGAGAGCUCAUAAGGAGACGAACGAUCAUGAUAGUCUCGCCGAGCAAACCGCCGUCAUCAGGCCCCUAUCUGGCGAGCGGUCAUGCGACGAUUAGAAGACAACUCUUCACACAGAAAACCCUACGACUGGUGGCGGAGAGUUGACGACAAGUCAACAAAUCGCCUAUCUCCAUAUCUCGAUGCAAGUCAUUAACUACCAAAGAACGGGCUUGGCCCCAUAGAUUAAGCGCAUCUUCGCCACAACCCUAAUGUUCCCUUUGUCGAAGAGGAUCACUGACAUCAAAAUCCGUCAAACAUACAAACUUCGCAUCCUAUCCUAUUCCGACGACAUAUAUCCC